UGCACUUUUAUGAAAGUUAAUAUUUAGCCAUAAUGAAUCGAAGGUUGAGAAAGGAAGGAAAGAUGUAUGACAAAGCCGUGAACGGAGGAGAGGAGCAUAUGAGACCAUCAAGGGCAGAGGUAAGACGAGGUAUGGAAGAAGACGAGAUGAGACGAAGGUGGACAGAUCACUCAUCUGGGCUUUGUUGCUUUCAAAUCUACCAGUUGUUUGUGGUGAGGGUCUUGUUGGUAGAUCUAUUUAUGUUCUUCGUUUUGGGGUUACUUUUAGUCGAAGCAUAGAGGUGGAGUCGGUUGGGGUUAAAAAGGCUGUAGGUGGUUUUUGCUAUUGUCAUCCAACGCACCCUUGGGAGAUCAGUUCUGGCGUCCUUGAUUGGGUGGCUCAACGCAGGUGUUUCGAUCUUGAGUUGAGAUUGCUUCUUUCCCUAGGCAGUAGAGGAGCAAAUGAUUUCACUUUGGAGCGCUCUCUGGGUCCCACGCUCUCUGCAUUUGAUACUGUCUGUUCUGGCUUUGAUUUAAGCUUUGUGGUUUUGCUUCUGUUUCUACUAUUAAAGCGGCUUCAGUUAUUGUUGUGAUUGUGCUUUUGGGGUGCUCCUCGGCUGGCGGUGGUAUUUAUGUUGGAGCUACGGAGGAGGUUUUUGGGAACUUCUCCUUGGGAUGGUAGUUUUCAUUUCCUCUGGUUGCUGGCGAGUCACGUCCUUCGUAGGCUUUUAGGUUUUCUUGGUUGUAUUUGCUUAUUUUUGGAGUUAGGGCCCUUUUAGCCCACCCCUUGUAAUUUCCAAAAUUAAUAAAAUUUUAAAUUUUA
rnacentral:misc_RNA from 1 species